rnacentral:rRNA from 1 species
GAUGAACGCUAGCUACAGGCUUAACACAUGCAAGUCGAGGGACCGGCGCACGGGUGAGUAACACGUAUCCAACCUGCCCUUUACUCGGGGAUAGCCUUUCGAAAGAAAGAUUAAUACCCGAUAUAAAGGGUGGGGAUGCGUUCUAUUAGAGUGUUGGUGAGGUAACGGCUCACCAAGCCUUCGAUGGAUAGGGGUUCUGAGAGGAAGCGCCCCCACAUUGGAACUGAGACACAGUCCAAACUCCUACGGGAGGCAGCAGUGAGUAAUAUUGGUCAAUGGGCGCUAGCCUGACCCAGCCAAGUAGCGUGAAGGAUGAAUGCUUUUGGGUCGUAAACUUCUGUUAUAGAAGAAUAUGUAUUAUAUGAAUAAGGAUCGGCUAACUCCGUGCCAGCAGCCGCGGUAAUAC